ensembl:rRNA 5S_rRNA 5S ribosomal RNA
GCCAGCAGCCAUAUCACCCUGCAACUCACAACUGGCAACCCACUGAAGCUAAGCAGGUGUGAGCCUGGUCAGUACCUGGAUGGGAGACCUCCUGGGAUAAAGGUUGCUGCUGGAA